CUCUGUCUCUCUCACUGUCCACUCUGCCUGUCAAAAAAAAAAAAUACUUAAGUGAAAAUAUGAAACUUUCCAAUAUAUUCUGCAUGGUUAGCCUACGUCUGCUAACCAAAAACAGCAAAAGAAAGAAAAGUCCAAGAUUUCACAUUUUGAGCAUUACAUUUGGUCUGGCUUGCUUUAAGCUCUGCUUCCUAUCUACUGACUGUACUUCCUGUUGAGCUGCUGCAUUUGAUGUCACCCACAAUUUGCAUACACAGAUCUCGGUCACCAUGAUAGACCACUUGCCUGUGGCAGGCAGAGAGGCCACGAUGUUCCAGAGAGUUAGUCACUCAAUCUCUACUCAUUCAGUCUCUACCUUGCAGAGGCUUAGGGUACACAGAUGAACAAAUGCUGGUCCCCAGCUCAAGGGCUAGCUGUAUAGAGAGAGAAGCAGGAGUGGAAGGCAGCCGCUGCAGUAGAAUAUGAUGUGUGUGGCCAGAAGGGGGAGAGUUCUAAGGGUACAGAGGAGAAGCAUCUCAUCAUUGUGGGAUGGCAGAAGGUCACAGAACAUGGCCAGGAAUUUGCCGCUGCCUUAUUUAUGGUAACGCUAACUUUGGACAACAACCUCUCUCCCAUUCUAAUUCAAACCACUGGGUAGGGAUCAACCUCACCUUCAGCUUCAGGGAGUGUUUCCCAACCAGUAAGUUCCAGACCCCAGGCCAUCAGCGUCAGCGUGGAGCAGACAUCACAGAAGGCAAGAAAAAGAACAUGUGUCCUUUUUUCCAUUUGUUGAUUCCACUCUUCCUUCCACUGGCGUGAACAUGACACCCACUGCUUCACAGGAGGCCUACGGACAAUCAGGACACAGACCUGACCUGCAAGUCUGGCUGGCUUUGGCUUUAUACUUCUCGAAGGGAUCUCCUGAGACUGGCCAUAGCUCAAGAAACCUGAGAGCAGAAGGACUUUUUCCAGACUAAAAAUAGACUGCUACAGGCUGGGAGGCAGACAAGGAAGAGGGAGGCCAGGUUCCAAGAGUGGAGGGCAGAGGGAUUACCCUGUUUUCUGGCAUCGCUGUGGGGCAAGGCCCCAGAAAGGUACACAUUCAUUAAUAGCCAAGAGUACCCAGGCCUGAAGGAAUCAGGAAGACAGGACCACAGAUGCCACUGUGACUCUGUCUCAGCCCUGGUGACUACACCAAUGGCUUCCCUCUACCCCAGUGCUUUAACCCCUGGAAUGGUGUGGGGUUGUUCACAGGGUGAAGUUUAUCUUCACCACAUAGCCAAGGGUGCUUUCAUUCCCUAUCCCUACCCCUACUCCAUUCUACCUCCUUUCUGUAUCGAUAUUUUCCAAAGCAGGUGAUCAGAUCACUACCUAGGGGUUCCACCCAUAUCCUCAAAGUCUCUGGGUCCCAGAAAGCAGUGUUCUCAGCAAUGUCCUGGAGAGGAGAGGCUAAUCCAGACCCUCACUCCUGCCCAACUCCACUGGAGGCUCACCAAAUGAUGACUUUGGGAAUAGACAACCCAAGUAACACUCCAGGUCAAGUCAUCUGUGUAUCAGGUAUCAAAAAAAAAAACUUAUCUAGGUGACUCAGAGAUUACAGACUUUAUGCAACUGAUACAUAUCAGAGAGGAAAGAAAGGGCAGGUGACACCUUGAUUAAAGCUGGGUCAGGGUUUUCAUAAAAUAAGGGAAAGGGGAAUGCACAAACUUGUCAUUUUUGGCUGAGGUAGCUCUUCUUGACUUUAAUAAAAACUCCUGGUUUAAGGUCAUUUCUGUCUCUGUACCCCUUGCUAAAGGUCACUAGUGCAAUCCCAGUAGCACUGAAACAGUAUUUUCCAACAAGUACUUUUGCAAGCCUUGUAGCUUUUUAUCUCCUCAAAGUUUACAACAUAGAAGGGAUACACAGCUAAGGAAGAAGUAGUUGUGGAGUGAGAAGGCAGGGGGGAAAUUGGGAAUGCUGUCUUGUGGUUUUCAGUCCUUUCAUACUGGCAUCAUGGACUCCAUCACCAGUAAGAGUAUGUAGGAAAUGACCAGAGCCCUCCACACCGAGCUCUCCUGCGUGCAUUCCUGAAGAUCAUCAUUGCAGAUCCCUUCGAGGUCCUGGCUUCUUGCUCUGCUCAGGAAACCUCCCUACAUCUCUGCUCAGACAUAGGGUCAUCCUUGGUGGCUGUCUUUACUGGGGCCAAAAGACAAUAUUCACCUUUAUGAGCCACAGGGACGAGCAGAAAGAUCCAGAGACUGCUGAGCCCUGCCUAGCCCAGCUUUUGACUGCAGCCACUUUUUACCCUCCCUGGCUUCUCUUCCUGCCAGGUCAGGCUGCCGCCCUGGCCAGUUGAGUGAGCCCCACCUGCCUGUCCUCUGGGAUCCACACCAUCUUUUCCUCUCUCCAGCCACACUCAAGGCCACCAUCCUGCGUGGUUCCCUUAGGCCUGCUCACUGUUCUCCUGCUGGUCCUUCAAGGUCUCAGGUGCACUUUCACCCACCAGCCCUUCCCCCAUUUGCUCUCCUGCCGUCCUCCGUCAGGGUGUGGCAGUUCCAUCGGCAGAGCCCAGCAGCCCUCUGCUGGAGUUGGCAUCAGCUGGCCCAGUUGUUUCUACUGAUGUUGGAAAGGGCGUCGUGGAGACGCACUUGCAGAAACCCCAGGCUCGGAACGUGGAAAUGAACCUCUGCCCCCAGGACACAGAGGCCUGCCAUCUGCUCAAACAGAAGACACAUGCACCUGCCAACACUCUGCAUUUUCUAGUGGAGUGGCAUGUGUGGGGGGAGAAGAGGACCAUUUUUGGAUUCCCUGGAGUCUGUCUGUCCUCAGCUAUUUUACAGGUGGUUCUCCGUUACCAGUGGAACAAAGUCCAAGUUCUCUGCACAGCCUACAAGUCAUGAUGAGCCAAUGAAGUGGUGCUGGGCCAGGCACUCAGCUCUUGGUUUCUAGUGAUCAUUCCUGACCCAAGCCCUCUGAAAAAGAGCAAUGAACAGCAUACCGCACACCUGUGGUCCUCCUGGCCGGCUCCCAACCCCACCAAGUGGAAACCUGAAGAGCUUGACCACUGCCUGUUUGUCUCUGCCUGAAGUCCUCACUUCCUGAAGAACCAAAACCGUGGGAUUAAAUUUCAAAAUCCAACUUCAGAAUAGAUUUGAAGUGAAUUGUAAUGAGAUGAUGGCACUUGGCUUGAUAAAAGAGUAAGACCACUGGGUGGUCACUGCAUGGCCAAUUCAUGGCCGCCAACCCUGUCGCUCUGGCUUCCUGUGCUACCCUCAGCUUCUACAGAGUGAACUUCUUCCAGGGCCGGCGCUGUGCUGUAGUGGGUAAAGCCACUGCCUGCAGUGCCAGCAUCCCACCCAUAGAAGCAACAGUUCAAGUCCUGGCUGCUCUACUUCCGAUCCAGCUCUCUGCUGUGGGCUGGGAAAGCAGUGGAAGAUGGCCCAAGUCCUUGGGCCCCUACACCAGUGUGGGAGACCUGGAGGAAGCUCCUGGCUCCUCGCUUCAGACUGGCCCAGCUCCAGCUAUUGCAGGCUUUUGGCUUCCUCUCUCCUCUCCAAAGUGGAAGAAGCUUCAGAUCUCUCUGGUUCAUUUCUCCCUCAGCUGCCUCCGAAACCAGGAGUGAGCGUGUCACCUAGCAACCAGGGCUCUGCUUCUGGAAACACAAGCCCCAGGACUGGCCAAGAGAGGAAAAUCUCCAGUGGGAAUCAAAAGUUUUAUCUUUGAACUAGAGUGCAGCCAAGCGUACAGCACCUAAUGAGACGCGGUGGCCAGGGCUGUCCUCCCAGACGGACUCCCAGCUCUCGGAGGCCCAGAGGCGGGGCCGAGUGGGGGAACAGCUUCAAGGGCAGCCUACACAGAAGCUCCGUGCUUUCCACUUGGACCUGGUCUGACUCCCCCGCUCCUCAACUCCUGUGUUAGCUGGUCUCUUGGGUCCUUACUGCUUCUUGUAGGUCAGGACUGAGAAGUCACAAGGCUCAAGACUUUACUCAAGGGUUUGGGCAAGCAGAUGCCGGACUCCCAGGAAGUCUUGCUCACUUGGACCUGAGCAGGAGCAUGCAAAACCACACAAGGGGCUCCCACGCCAUGAGGCUGGGGAGGACAUGAAUGCGUGCAGGUGUUCUGCGUCCACCGAUCAGCAGCAGAUAAGUGACCCCAAGACGGGAGAAGCUGGAGUCACUGAGAUUCUGAGACUGGCUGCCCUCAAGCAUCGGGUUCCAUUGGCAAAUCUGCUCCUACUACACAGUGACAGCAUCUUGCCUGGAAACAACACACAAUGCACACGCACACACGUGCACGUACACACACACACACACACUCCUCGUGGACUUCUUUGCUUUUCUUUCCCUUUCUCCAUGGGACUCGCUGUGCCAAUAGAAUAUCCCCAAGAAUGUCCCAAGUACAGGCCUCACAUGCUCUGUGGUGUCGCUUGCUCUCUUGCCCUCAGUCACAAAAAGGCAAGCCCCCCAGGUAGCUACCAGCUCCCAGAAGAACAGAGAUGUACUUUGCAGACAGAAACUUAACCAUGGCUCACAGUAGAGCUGUCUCCAGCCAACACCCAGGCCUGUGAAUGAGCAAAGUACGUGUUUGCUGUUGUGAGCCCCCUGCGUCGGGGGCCUUUGGCAAAGCAGCUUUAACCAUGGCAAUACCUGACCAAUGCCCUGCUCACUUCCCCCGGCCACAGCUUCCUCCUGGGUGUGCUGGUCCUGUUCUUGCCCAAGGCCAGGUGGGCCAACUUUUCCUUCAGUUUGAUGGGCCCUGCCGUAUCUUUCUAAUAAACCCCUCUCUGCGCUGAAGUCAGCUGGUACUGAGUUCUGUGGCUGUCACUCCAAGCACUGCUUGUCACGUUUGUCUACCAGACCUCCUUUCAGAACUGCCCACUCCUUGGGGUGAAUCCAGAGGCUUCCAUGGGUGAGCUGAGUGACCGCGUCUCGCCUUUUCCGGCCUUCUCCCCUUCUCCUCAGCUAGCCUCUGCAGCAUCCUACUGAGACUCCUUGUGCCCUGCAGGGGUUCCCCAUGUCCCUCCCUGGGAGACUUUGUACACAUCUGCUUUGCCUUUGUCACCUACCACCCUCUCUCCAUCUGCCACUGCUGAAGUCCUGUGCCCCUUUCAAACAGCACCUCCUCCAGGAACCCCUCCUGAUUUUGCCCUGGGAUGCCCUCUCUCCAGUUCUCUCUUCAGUGCCAGAAGCAGAGGUCCCUAGUCUGGAUGGUGCUCAUCUUCCCCUCCAGAAUGGCUGUAGGUUACUCCCUUACAAGAAGGGAACUCAUAAGGCCCAUCACUCAAGGGAGGCAGAGAAGACCCACAUCUUUUUGGAUCAUACUCAUCCCUUAGCAAGGGCAUCUCCUGGUAAGAGUCGAGGGCUCUGUAUUGCCUACUUUUGUGUCUGUAGUACCAAACUCAAGAAACAAAGGUGUACUCUAAAGUUGCUGGUUAUUUGAAUAAACAAAUGUCCAUCUCUUCUAAAGUCUUGGCCCAAAAAUACAUGAGACAUGUGUGAUUAGCCAUCUGAGACAGGACAAGGCCAUCCUCUACACGCCCUUUCCAAGGCUGAAGUUAGGUCCCUGGUAAGCCACAGACCAAACAGUAUUGGCAAACAUGCAAAUGAAGGAGCCAACACUUUGGGAAUUAACUCAGGGAUGCCUACUGCAACUGAUGGGACCUGUUGGCCCUGCUCACAGGUUCAGUCCACGUAACUCAUAACACGUAACUGAGGUCCCUGAAGAUCACACAGAGAAAACUGGGCAUCAGACCCCCAGGGGAGGGCAACUGCUGCCAUGGUUAAGAUGCUGCUUGGGAUGCCUGUGUCCUGUAUCAGAGUGCCGAGUUUGAGUCCUGUUUCCUUUGAUUCAUGAUCCAGCUUCCUGCUAACGCACACCCUGGGAGGCAGCAGAUGAUGGCUCAAGUACUUGGGUCUCUAUGACCCAUAUGGGAAACUCAUCCAGCCCGGAAUGCUGCAGGCAUUUGGGGAGUCAAUCAUCAGAUGGACGAUUCUCAUUCAUUCUCUCCCUCCCCCUCUCCCUAUCCCUUCUCAUUCGCAUUCUCUCUCUCCCUCGUGAAAUGAAAACAACAAAAAUUACUGAGAAAUCAGACCUCCAGACUGUUAGUUUUCCAUCACUUACAAGGAGUAGAAAUUUUGUGGCCCCGCAAGCUGAGUUUUCCCCCAGGUCUUCCUCCACAGCCUGUUGGUGGGGAGGGCAACACCAUUGUAGUGCCAACCUCCACAACCACAAAGACUGCUAGGCUAUGCCCAAGAUUUUCUUAAAAUAAUAGUGCUGCCUGCCUCCGUGGGCUGGCCAGCUGUCUCAGUACAAUCACUGCCUGAAUUACAAUUUCCUGCUCUUUAUUUAUGGAGUGAAUUGGUAUCACACUCACUGAUCACCUGUGUCCACCUCUGCCAGGUAGCCAGGACUUCAUCAGGCAGGGGAGAGACCCAGAGUGAAUGAAACCACGGGAGUACCAUGGGAUGGAACAGCCAAGGCUUCUGCAGCCAGAAAGUCCGAGUUCAAAUCCUGGCUCUGCCAUUUGCUGGCCUGGUGGCCUCUGUUUUCUCAUCUGUAAAAUGGGAGUGAGAAUAGCCCCACUCAGAGAGGUGGCCCGAGGCCCACACUGUGUCUGACACAUAGAGAUGGUCAGUAGGAGUUAAAGGCUGUCUGAGGUAGGGCUCCCCCAAAAGCAGAGCCUGAGACAAGGAGUUGAUUUGGGAGGUGACUCUAGGAGACACCAGCGUUAGGAGUGGAGAGGUGAGUCAUGGAGGGAAGGCAGAGAUGGAGGGCGCGCAGAAGCGUAGGCUGCCUCUGAGCAGCUGGAACUCAGUCCCACUGCGCAUCUCUGGGAGACAGCGUGGGGCAGGACCAGGGGUUGUCCCCUGGAAAAAGUGAGGAAGUGGGCGUAUUUCCCCACCACAGCUCCCACCCCAUAACCAGGAGGGAUGCUACAGGCAGGGCUUCACUUCCCAGCAUGGUUUCCCCCUCACACCAGCUCAGAGAGGCAUUUUUCAGGCAGCAAGUCACAGCUGCUUGUAACUCGGUGUCAAGCGGACCCCAUGCAUGGGAAUGGUCAGGGUGAGUCACACACAACACCUGGUACUAGGGCCCCAGCUCAUAGAAGGAAUCACAUUUGUGUUACCAGGUCAGAGCUUGGGCUAGAAUUGGGACACAAAAUCUCAACAUCAGGAGCUGGUGAGGGUGGUCCUGGAAGUUGGGAGUGGGCCUGGAAUGAGGUGAGGGUCCUGACAUCAGUCAGCAGUUGCCCUGUGUCCCUGGGUGCUGGCACAAUGUGUGACAGGUGGGCUUCCUCUCUGUUGGAAUAAGCUGGGACAAUUUGAGACGGUGUUGAGUCCUCAGGUCUUCUACAAGUUUAGAGGUACCUGUUCCACACACAGACCUUGACCUGGCAUUUGGGACAAGCUCUUUAGCUUUAGCUAGCAUGAAAGAUGGGGAGGGUGGGCAGAUCCCAGGAGAACUGUGGGUGGGGGGGAGAGUGGAAAAUCAAGGAGCCUUGGGUGUGAGAAAGGUGCUGAGUUGCAUGUGUAGGCUCCUGAGACACAGCCUCCCUGAGGGCCAGGGGACAUAAACUUCAGAGACAACUUCAGUGCCAGAAACUCCCACCGAGUUUGGAUGUGAGUAGAUUAUUUGAGUUCUCCAUGUGCACACACACACAUACACAUACACACAGCUUUGUAACUUCCAAAUGUGGAUCUGUUGAAAUGAGAGCACCUCAAAGUGCUCCAUCACCCUCUGGGAGAAAUCACCCAGGGAGAAGAUCUUUCAGAAGCUGUGCCCUCAAUGGGGCUUUCCUGGAGUUUACCAAUGUGUGAACUGAUUCUGUUUGUUAUCAUCAGAUUUAAUGAGAAUUCCCAUCAGUGCCCUUUUAGAGGGUACCAUUUCCUGAGAACCUCCCAUCUGCUAGAUAUCAUGAAUUUUAAAUCACCGUGCAUUGAAACUGCCCAAAAAUUCAGCUGUAAGAGGCAAAGGCACUGCACAGCAAACAAGCAGUAAGGCUGGGACUCGGCCCCGGAGUGUUCACAUUUCAAAGGCUGCUCUUCAAAUCAUUCAGUCCAAGUGCCAGGUAAUAUAUUUGAAAAUGAUUCCUUUUAGUGCUAAAAUAUGGUUCUUGAUUCUAUAGAACAAAUAAAAAUGCAGUGGAAAACCUUAACAACAGACUCAAUGAAGCAGAAGAAAGAUAUCCAAGUUAGACAAUAAAUCAAUGAAAAUUUUACAGUCAGACCAAACACAAGAAGAAAUUAUAAAACUAAAAAACACUGUUGAAGAUCUAUGGGAUACUAUCCAACGACCCAACAUACUGGCCUUAGGAGUUCCUGAGGCAUGGAAAGACUGAAUGGAUUAGAAUGCCUUUUUAGUGAAGUAAUAACAGAAAACUUCCCUAAUUCAGAGAAAGGCAUAUCUAAGUACCAGAAAAGAUCUUUGCCACGACAGGUUUUAAUCAGACUCUCCACAGUAAAACAUAAAGAUCUAAAAUGUGCACAAGAGAAACACUAGAUUACUUUCAGAGGAUCUCCAAUUAGACUCAUAGCUGGCUUUUCAUCAGAAACCCUACAGGCUAGGAGAGAAUACAGAAAUAUAUUCCAGGUCUAAAGAGAACAGAACUGUCAACCCAGAAUACUGUACCCUGCAAAGCUCUUAUUUAUGAAUGAAGGUGAAAUAAAGACCUUCCAUAACAAACAGAAAUGGAAAGAAUUGUUCAUGACCCGUCCAGCCUUACAAAAGAUGCUUAAGGAUGUGUACACACAGAAACACAGAAUCAUGGUCAUCACUAUGAAAGAAAGUAAAGGCACAAACACCUCCAGUGAAAGUACAAUGGGACUCCAAAGUAAACAAUAGGAUUAAUUAUGAGAAAGUGGCAGGGAAAAAUUGUUACUUAUCAAUAGUCACCUUGAAUGCAAAUAGCCUCAACUCUUCAGUUAAAAGAGACAGACUGGGGGGAGGAGCCAAGAUGGCAGUAUAGCAACAAGACAUUCUGAGUCUCGGGGGAAAAUAGAUUGUUAAUAAGGAAAGGGGAUAGGGGCUGGUGGCAGAGCCACUGCAGUUUCGUGUGGAGAAGCCCGGGAGUCCAGCAGAGACUGAGUAGCCCACACAGAAGGAGCAGAGUCACAGAAACACAGCAGAGGUGCGAUGGAGAAGCUGAAUGGGGCGACUGACGCCAUGCCCUCCCUCUCCCGGGUGGACCAGGUAAGACACGAGGUCUCAAAUCCGUGGAGCUGUGAUUAGCAGUGGGGGGAGAGCCAGGGGAACUCUGUUUGAAAUCCCAAGAGGGAAGAAUGGGGAAAAGAUGGAAAACUCGGCAUACCCCUGCCCAUCCACGUCUCCCCCAACCCCCAGCCACACCUGCUGCCAACUGGGAGAAGCCAUAUUGUCUGUUUACAUCUCUGAAUGUAAACACGGUGCUACCGUAUUUGCCUACUGUGCACACACCCACCUAUUGUGGGGCCACUUUACCACACACACUCCACCAGGAAACAAGGAUCGCAACAGUUCAGAGUAAUUUCUCCCCACCACCACCACACGAACUGUACAAUGGGGAGUAGUUCUAAACACUGAAAUCCCUAGCUCCUUCCACACACCAGAGCCUGGCCCAAGUAGGCGGGGCUUAGCGCAUCAGAGCUCUUCAAUCUGCCUCCACUGCCCCCAUCACCAUCCAGAAGUGAGCAGGACUUCCAGGGGUGGGAUUGCCUGUUUCCACUGGCAACACACAGACACAUAGCAGCUCACAGCAUAGGGGAAUCUCACCACAAACACCAAGACACAUAUUAAAGAUGACGAUAAAAUAAACCAGGAAUUCUGGGAAACAAGGGGAAAAAUUUUAAUAAGACUAAGGAAGAUAGUAUUAGCCCCAGAAUGGAACAUUACAUUACCUCUUCAGUAAUAGAAGCAGGACAAGAAGGGAUUAAAGAUAUGUCAGAAACAGAAUUUGGAAAAUUAAUCGUCAGAUUACUAAGAAGCAAUCAAAAACAUAUUCAAGACCUAAAUGAAAAGUGUUACCAAGAAACUGAGAUACUGAAGAAAAAUCAGAAUGAAAUUCUAGAUAGGAAGAAUUCAAUAGAGCAAAUAAAAAACCACAGUGGAUAGUCUCAAAAAUAGAAGAAAUGAGAAGAAUGACUAUCAGAACUAGAAGAUAAAUUUCUGGAUAUAACACAGUCAGACCAAACACAAGAAGAAGAAAUCAGGAAAUUGAAAUACACAGUUCAAGAUCUGCAAAAUUCUAUCAAAUUAUCCAACAUACAAACCCUAAGAAUCCCAAAAGGCAUCAAAACAGAGAAAGGAUUAGAAGGCCUUCUUAAUGAAAUAAUAGCAGAGAAUAUCCCCCUUCUGGAGAAAGAAACAGACAUCCAAGUUCAAAGGUACACAGAAUUCCCAAUAGACACGACCAGGAAAGAUCCUCCAUAGUGGCAAAGCUCUCCUCCGUAACACAUAAAGACAAGACCCUGGGGCCAGUGGCAUGACUAGUAUGUUAAUCCUCCACAUGCAGCGCCAGCAUCCCAUAUGGGCACUGGUUCUAGUCCCAGUUGCUCCUCUUUCAGUCCAGCUCUCUGCUAUGGCCAGGGAAAGCAGUGGAAGAUGGUCCAGGUGCUUGGGCCCCUGCACCCGCAUGGGAGAUCAAGAGGGGGCACCUGGCUCCUGGCUUUGGAUCGUAGAAGCUCCGGCUGUUGAGGCCAUUUGGAGAGUGAGUCAACAAAGGAGGACCUUUCUCUCUGUCUCUCUCUCUCACUCUCUGUAACUCUACCUCUAAAAUAAAUAAAUAAAAUCUUUAAAAAAAAAAAAGACCCUAAAGUGUGCCUGAGUCAAACGCCAAAUCACAUUCAGAGGAAACCCAAUUAAACUCACCCCAGACUUCAUGUAAUCACAAACCCCACAGGCAAGGAGAGAAUGGCAAGACAUACUCCAAGUCCUAAGAGAAAAAAAACUGUCAACCCAGAUUACUUUACUCAUUUAUGAAUGAAGGAUAAAUACGGAUCUUCCACAGCAAACAGAAAUUGAAAGAAUUUGUAAGUACACACCCAGCCUAGGACACAUGCUCAAACACGUGCUACACACAAACAGGAACAGGAACAUCACUGAAAUAGCAGAUAACUACCCAGCAAAAGAACAAAUGAAAUCCAAAGUACAUAAACAGAACUAUUUACAGAAACAUGGCAGGGCAAAGUCGGUACUUAACAAUAGUAACACUGAAUGUAAAUGGUCUCAACUCCUCAGUUAAAAGACACAGACACGCUGAAUAGAUUAAAAAAGAAAACCCAUCUAUUUGCUGCCUACAAAAAAAUACAUCUUACCAACAAAGAUGCUCACAGGCUAAAAGUGAAAGGAAGGAAAAAAAUAAUCCAUGCUAACAGAAACCAAAAAAGGGCUGGGUGGCCAUCCUAAUACCAGACAAAAUAGGCUUUAACACAAAAACCAUCAAGAGAAACAAAGGAGGACACUAUAUAUUGAUCAAAGGAUCAAUUCAACAGGAAGAUGUGAGUGACUAUUAUAAAUGUAUAUGCACCUAGAAGGUGGCACCAUGGCAUAGGUUAAUCCUCUGCCUGUGGCGCCAGCAUCCCAUAUAGGCACUGGUUCUAGUCCUGGCUGCUCCUCUUCCAAUCCAGCUCUCUUUUGUGGCCUGGGAAAGCAGUAGAAGAUGGCCCAAGUGCUUGGGCCCCUGCACCCGCAUGGGAGAUCUGGAAGAAACUCCUGGCUCCUGGCUUCAGAUUGGUGCGGCUCCAACCGCUGUGGCCAUCUAGGGGGUAAACCAAUGGAAGGAAGACCUUUCUCUCUGUUUCUCCCUCUCACUUUCUGUAACUCCACAUCUCAAAAUCUUCUUUA